UGCACGGUCUUGAAGUUCUUUUCCAAUCCCAACCAUUCUACAAUUGUAUGAUUCUUAUAGCCAAGGAACCUGGAAAGUGCCAUGUCCUUAAAGAAUAUGAUAUUCAGUUAAAUUGCAUUACACGCAUUUCAGGAAUGGCCAUGGGAAACACUCCUUUUUUCCCCCAUCUCCCCCACCAGCUAGUGCUGGAAUAUUUUGUGGAUUAUUUUAGACAGCCGCCUGGAUUCUACAUAUAUCUUCCAUAUUCUAAUGUCUCGUUAUUCCAGCAUAGACUAUUAGUGCAGUAGCUCAUGCCAAGAUGCAAAAGCAGAACAGAACUGAUUAAUUAUUAUUAUUAUUAUUUUUUACCCUGACAGCUUUUGGCCACAAAACAUCUUUUUCAUGAUUUUGCAACUAAGAAUUCUAGCAUGGCAUACAAAAUCUUCUUGAGUGCCCACUUCAUGAAGAAACGUGGCCAAGUGCAAGGGAAAUUGAAGGAUCAUGGCAUCCUGAAGGUUAGGACAGCUAAACCAGACUAAUCCCCACACCAGUCCUGUUGGCAACACCUUCAUUAGUUUCAGCAGCCAAACGUGAAGCCAGCCAGCAACAUAAAGAAAUCCAGCCAAGAAGACAGCUACAGUCCCACAUAUCAAUGCUGGAAAAAACACAUUCCGGAGCUUGGCGUCUGUGCUCUGAAGCUUGCCAAGCACACCCUAGGAGUGGCCACACAUGUUCUGGCUUUCACAGCAGAGGAGCAGAAUGAAAACAGGGGAGCUGAGUGAGCCAGAAUGUGAGUGGUACAGAACACUGUACCACGGUCCGUUUCUUUCAUCUAGAAAAUGGGAGACUUUCCUGAGAUGUCAGAGAGAGGGAGCGCUUAUGUUCCCUAAUGUACAGGAAACACACUGUUUUUCAUUUAAAUUCAGAACUCUGGGAUAUUUAUUUCUGUUCUGCUGAAACUGUUCUGUCUCAUUACUGUAGGAUAUUACUUAAAUAUGUAUAUGUAUGUAUUUAAAGGUUUUAGUAAUGCUUUGAUGCUGUACCUCAUCCUUCUCUGAUUAAAAGGUAUGCUUCCACUGAGUGAUGAAUUUGCUCAAUAAUAGAGCCACGAAGGUCAUGCAGAAUGGGGCUAUAUCUGACAGGCAGCUGAGCACUUGCAUUGUUCCUGUGUGCUCAAUUCUAGGGCCAAUUCUGUUGAAGAUUUUAUCAGUGAUCUGGAUGCAGGAGUUGAAAGCGUCCUUAACAAAUUUGCCAAUGCUACUAACCCAGGAAAUGCUGUUGCCUGCCUGGAGAGGAAACUAGAUGAAGUGGAGCACUGGGUAAUCAGCAACAUAAUGAAGUUCAAGAAAGGUGAAUGCUAGAUUAUGUAUUUGAAGUGCAGUAAUGCGAGACACAGGCACAGACUGGGAGUUGAUUGUCUGGAGAGCAGCUAAGCAGAAAGGAAUCUGGGGGUGCUGGUCAACAAAAGGCAAAGCAUGAAUCAACAGUGUGCCUGCCAGCCCUGGCAUAGCCAACCGGCCAAAAUAGGUGAUUCUU